ACACACAGACACACGCAUACACACUAAAGGUCCCUGAGGAGAGCAGACCCUCUCUCUUUCAGCAUCUGUUAACUGCCUGUGGCUGCUCAUCUAGAUGCAGGCUCUUGUGAACUUGAUCCUCACCCAUGUCAGCAUGUUGACGGGUGUGGUCUUGUGCAGGUAACGUAUUGUUUAGAGUUCAUGAGUUUGACAGUUUUGUCCUGUCCAGAAGACACUUAUCAAGCAGACCCCGCAAUAAUGUGGUUUCAACAAGCUAAGGACAUGUUCGGUAAAUAUUCUGUUUCUUUUACACAAUUCUUCCCUCCAUCUUUGAACUCUGGAAUAACAGGCUCGCAGGGCAUCCGAGGGCCAUUCACGAUGGGAUCUCCUGUUCAGCUGCAGCUCACACCCCCAGGGCUCUGAAGCCGACCUCUCAGGGGACCUCAUAGCUGCACAAGAAGGAAUAGCCUUUGGUCUGCUGCCAAAUGGAGCGCAGCCCUCAAGGGCUGUCCCAAGUCCAAGGCAUUGCCCCAGAACUGGACUCGUGAGUGGAGGAGGCUGGCUUCUCCCGGCUUGGCAAAUUUCUCUCAUCUUUCCAAAGAACCCUGCCCAGGUCCUGCCAGACAUGCUGUGGUUCCCUCUUUCCUCAGGCAGUUUCUGUUCAUCAGUCAAGGCAUCUUGGAACAUGAAUUCAUUGCUUUGGGGACAUUUUCCCAAAAGGCUCCAGCCUGUACCACAUGUUCCAAGAUAAAACUAUUCUGUGUCCCAACCACUAAAACUUCAUGUAGUGCCACCCCAGCAGCUGUGGUUUGUUAGUUCCUUACUGAGGUGUCACUUGAGGUGAAAAAAAAUGGCUAUUCUAGCAAACACCAAAUGCAUUAUAGAAUUAGCUUUAACUGCCCUAAUUUGCAUGGUUUGAAGCUCUUUCAAAACCACGGGUCUGCAAGAAAAAGAAGCGAGGGUCGUGUCCGUGUGUUAAUGGCUUCUGCACGUGAUUCUCUGGGAAGAUGAAGAGUCUCCACACAAGGUUUUAGUAAAUUCUUUUUUUUCUUGUUAGGUGGUUUUGCAAAGUACAGCAAAUUUUGUGAAGGGCACAUCCAAGUCUGACCUUACUUCUCCGCUGAAAGUCAGGGCAAUCACUAGGUCAUAGCACAGGGUGAGACGAGGCUUGGCAGAUCGUCUCUCUGCCAAGGUCGGACUUAUCCCGCCGCAUGAUGUCGGCAGCGUGGGGUGGUGUACACCUGGAACUCCAGCCUCAGUCAGGGAGGAAGGGGGGAUCAGAACUUCCAGACCACCCUCAGCCAUAGCGUAAGUUCAAAGCCAGCCUGGGGUUCAUAAAGUCCUAUUUCAAAACAAAUAAACAAACAAACAAGACCACAGAAACCAGAGUGUGUGGGGGAGAGGAGUUUCUGAAAGAUAUUUUCCCUUACUUGGAACUCUGCAGGAAGGAAGUAAACUUGUUUUUCUUUCCAUGUGACUGAGAGAUGAGCCUGAAGUUGCCUGUUUAUUGAAAGUGUCCCUGGGGCUUUAGUCCUCCUCCCCAGGAGGACUCGGGCAGCGCUCCGGGAAAGGAGGUUUGAAACGUCUUCUGUUCAUGCCGUGCAGUCUGGGAACCUGUUCGCUUUUUCCUGUGAGGCAGUACAUGAGCUGACCAUGAGCCCUCUGGAGCUGUGAGCCCAAAUGAGCCUUUCCUCCUGUAAGGGGCUUAUCUAGCUCAUCAUUUGUCUCAGUGAUGGGACAUUGAUUGACACAUGACCGGGACAGUUGUGAGCACUGAGUACAGUGGUGAGGGGCUCCAUGUGCCGUAUCCACACAGAUUUCUCAGUCUGUAUCUUCCCAAUCGGCAUCUAAUGUUUGUAAAGAAACGUGUGCGGCAACUGGCCUCUGCUAUGGAUACCCACACAGGGGAACACUGGAGGCUGGCUGGUGAGAACGCCUGAGGUCGGAAUCCAGGUUCUAGAAUUUACCAGACUCCAGUGCUAGUUUACGCGCCCCCUGGUGACGGAGACACGUGCGCGAAGAGGUGUGGACCGCACUUAGUGGACUGACCCGCACGGGACCGGAAGGGACAUCUUCCCAUGCUAGAGACGGCCACUCCUCAGGAAGCAUCACAGAUGAGAACUGGAGACAGUCUGGGGACAGCGAAGGCGCCAUGCGCUUCCCUGUUCCCAUCUGUGCCACUGAGGCGGCACACAGCUGCAGACUGCGGUCCCACAAGUAGGCAAGCCGCGGCACGCGGCCAGCCAUUCAGAUGCAGUCAAGCACAUCUUAGCCACCGACCUCGGACACUUCUCUCUGCGUCUCCGAUGGUCUCUUCUGUAAAAAUAAACCUUUUCAACCUACAAAGUAAAACAAUAGAUUAUUUCCA